CCUACGGGAGGCAGCAGUGGGGAAUCUUCCGCAAUGGGCGCAAGCCUGACGGAGCAACGCCGCGUGAGUGAAGAAGGUCUUCGGAUCGUAAAGCUCUGUUGAUGGGGACGAACGUGCCUAAUGCGAAUAGUAUUAGGUAAUGACGGUACCCAUCGAGGAAGCCACGGCUAACUACGUGCCAGCAGCCGCGGUAAUACGUAGGUGGCGAGCGUUGUCCGGAAUCAUUGGGCGUAAAGGGAGCGCAGGCGGGCAUGUAAGUCUUUCUUAAAAGUUCGGGGCUCAACCCCGUGAUGGGAAAGAAACUAUAUGUCUUGAGUACAGGAGAGGAAAGCGGAAUUCCCAGUGUAGCGGUGAAAUGCGUAGAUAUUGGGAGGAACACCAGUGGCGAAGGCGGCUUUCUGGACUGCAACUGACGCUGAGGCUCGAAAGCCAGGGGAGCGAACGGGAUUAGAUACCCUGGUAGUC
rnacentral:rRNA from 1 species